GAGUUUGAACCUGGCUCAGGACGAACGCUGGCGGCAUGCCUAACACAUGCAAGUCGAACGGAGUUGUUAUACAGAAGUUCUUCGGGAUGGAAGUAUAAGAACUUAGUGGCGGACGGGUGAGUAACGCGUGGGUAACCUGCCCUUUUGUGGGGAACAACUUCGAGAAAUCGGAGCUAAUACCGCAUAAUAAUAGAGAAUCGCAUGAUUUUCUAAGGAAAGAUGGCCUCUGAGAAUGCUAUCGCAAAAGGAUGGACCCGCGUCUGAUUAGCUAGUUGGAAGGGUAACGGCCUACCAAGGCAACGAUCAGUAGCCGGCCUGAGAGGGUGAACGGCCACAUUGGGACUGAGACACGGCCCAAACUCCUACGGGAGGCAGCAGUGGGGAAUCUUCCGCAAUGGGCGAAAGCCUGACGGAGCAAUGCCGCGUGAGUGAAGAAGGCCUUCGGGUUGUAAAACUCUGUCCUUAUCGAAGAGAGGUGGGUAUGUGAAUAAUGUACCUAU
rnacentral:rRNA from 1 species